AAUAAAGGUAUUUUGUCCAACUACAACUAAAAAAUAAAUAUUAAAAAAAAAAAAGCUGGGGCUAUAGCUCAGUGGACAAGCACCUCUGGGUUCAAUCCCCUGCCCCACCCCCCAAAAAGUAAAUGGUACUCAGAGAAACCUUAGAAUUUUUAAUCUUAUUUUGGAUAAUUUUAGACCUAUAAAAAAGUUGCAAAAAUAGUGCAACAUGUAACUUCUUCACUCAGUUCCCCAAAUGUUAACAUCUUUCAUAACCGUGAUUUAUUGGUGGAAACCAAGAAAUUUGCCUUGAUACCACACUAUUAAAUAAUCUACAAUUUUUAUUUGGAUUUUUCUGUUUUUUCCCAUUAAUGCUCUUUUUCUGGUUUCAGAUCUAAUCCUGAAUUUCAUUGCAUUAGUUGUCAUUUCACAUUAUAUUUUCCCAGUCUGAGACUGUUCCUCAGUCUGUGUGUGUAUGUAUGAUUUCUUGAACAUAUUUGAAGAAAAAUGGUAAGUUAUCUCUCCUUCUCCUUCAGAAACUGUCCCUCCAUUUGGAUUUGUUCAAUGCUUUCUCAUGAGUAUACUGAGAUUAUGCAUUUGGAUUUGUUGUGUGCUUUCUCAUGAGUAGAAAUGGGGUUAUGCAUUUUUGGCAAAAAUACAUAGAAGUAAUGUGCCCUCCAAGAGAAUUUUUUAAAAUAAAUUUGGGAUGGGGAAGAUAUUUUUAUAUAUGAUAACAAAACACAAAGUCUGGGCUGGGGAUUUAGCUUAGUUGGUAAGAGUGCCUGCCUCACAUGCACAAGGCGUGGGUUCAAUCCCCAGCACUGCAAAUAAAUAAACCACAGAAUCCAUAAAAGGAAAAUACUGGUAUAUUUAAAAGUAUAUUAAAAGUGUGGAAAGUUGGGGUUGUGGCUCAGUAGUAGAGUGCUUGCCUAGCAUGUAUGAGGUACUUGGUUUAACUUUCAGCAUCACAUAUAAAUAAAUGAAUAAAAUAAAGGUCCAUCAACAUUUAAAAAUAUAUUUUUUAAAGAAAUGUGGGAUCUGGGUACAGUGGGGCAUGCCUUUAAUCUCAGUGACUGCGGAGCCUCUGAGGCAGGGGAAUCCUAAGUUUGAGGCUUGUCUUAACAAAUUAGUGAGUCCUUAAGCAACUUGGUAAAACCCUGUCUCAAAAAAAGUUAAAAUAAAUAUAGAGGACUGGAGAUAUGGCUCAGUGGUUCAGCCCCCCGGGGUUCAAUCCCCAGUACCAAAAUUAAUUAAUUAAUUAAUUAAUUGGGGACUAUGGGUGUAGCUCAGUGAUAAAAGUAUGAACUUAGCAUGCAUAAAGGCCUGUGAUCAAUUCUCAGGAAGGAAAAAAAAAUAUUUAUAUCUAUCUAUCUAUCUAUAUAUAUAUAUAUGAAAAGCCUGAACAAUCCAAUAAAAAUGUACAAAAAUUUUCACAGACAUUUCACAGAUAAGAAAAUACAAAGAGGGGCUGAAGUUGUGACUCAAUGGUAGAGCACUUGCCUAGCUCGCAUGAGGUGCUGGGUUUGAUCCUCAGCACCACAUAAAAAUAAAUAAAUAAAUAAAUAAAAAUUGUGUCCAUCCACAGUAAUAUUAAAAAAAAAAAGAAAGAAAAAAAAUACAAAGAGCAAGAUGUGGUGGCGCACACCCGUAAUCCCAGCAGCUUGGGAGGCUCCGGCAGGAGCAUCACAAGUUCAAAGCCAGCCUCAACAAUUUAAGCAACUCAGUGAGACUGUCUCUAAAUAAUACACAAAAGGGCGUAGGGGAUGUGGCUUAGUGAGUGCCCCUGAGUUCAGUCCCCGGUACCCCCUCCCCUCGAAAAAAAGAAAAUACAAAGAACUGUCACACAUGAAAAGAUGCCUUACAUUCACAAUAUGAGAAAUACAAGUCAUGUCUAAUUUUGUGUGUGUGUGUGUAUGUGUGUGUGUGUGUGUGUGUGUAUGACCUAAAAGUUUCAUAGGUAAACAGGCCUCACCUGUUUGUUGGUGGGACUAAAAAUUGGUAACACAUUCAUAGAGAGCAAUUUGGCAAAGUCCAUCAAAAUCAAAUCAGUCAAAAUUACUAACACCCAUAUCUUUUGACUUAGGAUUUUCACGUCUAGGAAUUAACCCAACAUUUUCACAGGGGUGAAAUGGAAAUGUGUAGAUUAAUCUUUGCCUUCACUUGUGUUGGCAAAAGAUUAGAAACAUCCUAAAUGAGUGUCUACAGGAGAUUUGUUGAAUUAUGAUACAUCCGUGCCAUGGAAUAGUAUGCAUCCAGAAACUAAUUUGUGC
rnacentral:lncRNA from 1 species